GUGGGGAAUCUUGCGCAAUGGGCGAAAGCCUGACGCAGCCAUGCCGCGUGAAUGAUGAAGGUCUUAGGAUUGUAAAAUUCUUUCACCGGGGACGAUAAUGACGGUACCCGGAGAAGAAGCUCCGGCUAACUUCGUGCCAGCAGCCGCGGUAAUACGAAGGGGGCUAGCGUUGCUCGGAAUUACUGGGCGUAAAGGGCGCGUAGGCGGACAGCUUAGUCAGAGGUGAAAGCCCAGGGCUCAACCUUGGAAUUGCCUUUGAUACUGGCUGUCUUGAGUUUGGGAGGGGGGAGUGGAACUCCGAGUGUAGAGGUGAAAUUCGUAGAUAUUCGGAAGAACACCAGUGGCGAAGGCGACUCACUGGCCCAAUACUGACGCUGAGGCGCGAAAGCGUGGGGAGCAAACAGGAUUAGAUACCCGAGUAGUCC
rnacentral:rRNA from 1 species